GGUUAAUAUAUUUGAUAAUCAUGUUAGGAGUGUAAAUAUUCAUUGAUGUAACUAAAGAAUUAUUAAAGAGAAACAGUUCGCCUGUAAAGUACUUCAUCAUCACUCUCAUCUUCCUCAUCUGACACAACCUCAAAGCCUGGUAGUUCUAACUUCCCACCCAUACAGAAUGAUGGACCCUGAUUUUCUGAAUCAAUAUAAUCACCUUGCAAUCUUUCCUCGAAUCUCUGGUCACUACAGUUGAGGAACCAAUUCAUUGAACACCUGAGCCCCUUGCUUUGCAGCCUCUGGUAUCUUGGCUUGAUUCUGGAUUCCAGGCUAUAUGUAAAAUAUUCAGGAAAAUCCACAAGUUCAUUCAAAGGCC
rnacentral:misc_RNA from 1 species